GUGGGGAAUCUUGCGCAAUGGGCGAAAGCCUGACGCAGCAACGCCGCGUGCGGGAUGAAGGCCUUCGGGUUGUAAACCGCUUUCAGCAGGGACGAAAAUGACGGUACCUGCAGAAGAAGCUCCGGCUAACUACGUGCCAGCAGCCGCGGUAAUACGUAGGGAGCAAGCGUUGUCCGGAUUUAUUGGGCGUAAAGAGCUCGUAGGCGGGUUCGUAAGUCGAGUGUGAAAAAUCUGGGCUUAACCCAGUGGAGCACUCGAUACUGCGAUGACUUGAGUCUGGUAGAGGAGUGUGGAAUUCCUGGUGUAGCGGUGAAAUGCGCAGAUAUCAGGAGGAACACCAACGGCGAAGGCAGCACUCUGGGCCAGUACUGACGCUGAGGAGCGAAAGCGUGGGGAGCAAACAGGAUUAGAUACCCCAGUAGUCC
rnacentral:rRNA from 1 species